UAAUGUAUGGGGAUCUGCCCGAUAGAGGGGGAUAACUACUGGAAACGGUGGCUAAUACCGCAUAGUGUCUACGGACCAAAGCAGGGGCUCUUCGGACCUUGCACUAUCGGAUGAACCCAUAUGGGAUUAGCUAGUAGGUGGGGUAAAGGCUCACCUAGGCGACGAUCUCUAGCUGGUCUGAGAGGAUGAUCAGCCACACUGGGACUGAGACACGGCCCAG
rnacentral:rRNA from 1 species